rnacentral:rRNA from 1 species
CCUUUCGGGGUGGAUUAGUGGCGAACGGGUGAGUAACACGUGGGCAAUCUGCCCUUCACUCUGGGACAAGCCCUGGAAACGGGGUCUAAUACCGGAUAACACUCUGUCCCGCAUGGGACGGGGUUAAAAGCUCCGGCGGUGAAGGAUGAGCCCGCGGCCUAUCAGCUUGUUGGUGGGGUAAUGGCCUACCAAGGCGACGACGGGUAGCCGGCCUGAGAGGGCGACCGGCCACACUGGGACUGAGACACGGCCCAGACUCCUACKGGAGGCAGCAGUGGGGAAUAUUGCACAAUGGGCGAAAGCCUGAUGCAGCGACGCCGCGUGAGGGAUGACGGCCUUCGGGUUGUAAACCUCUUUCAGCAGGGAAGAAGCGAGAGUGACGGUACCUGCAGAAGAAGCGCCGGCUAACUACGUGCCAGCAGCCGCGGUAAUACGUAGGGCGCAAGCGUUGUCCGGAAUUAUUGGGCGUAAAGAGCUCGUAGGCGGCUUGUCACGUCGGAUGUGAAAGCCCGGGGCUUAACCCCGGGUCUGCAUUCGAUACGGGCUAGCUAGAGUGUGGUAGGGGAGAUCGGAAUUCCUGGUGUAGCGGUGAAAUGCGCAGAUAUCAGGAGGAACACCGGUGGCGAAGGCGGAUCUCUGGGCCAUUACUGACGCUGAGGAGCGAAAGCGUGGGGAGCGAACAGGAUUAGAUACCCUGGUAGUCCACGCCGUAAACGUUGGGAACUAGGUGUUGGCGACAUUCCACGUCGUCGGUGCCGCAGCUAACGCAUUAAGU